AAGUCGGUUGUGAAAGCCUUCCGCUCAACGGAAGAACGGCAUCCGAUACUGCAUGGCUUGAGUGUGGGAGGGGAGAGUGGAACUUCUGGUGGAGCGGUGAAAUGCGUAGAUAUCAGAAGGAACACCGGCGGCGAAGGCGACUCUCUGGUCCAUAACUGAUGCUGAGUGUGCGAAAGCUAGGGGAGCAAACGGGAUUGGAUACCCCGGUAGUCCUAGCCGUAAACGAU
rnacentral:rRNA from 1 species